UGGCGGCAACGAGCUGGGUAUCCACUCAUUCAUGAAAGGCACCGCGUGGGAACCCCGUCCAAUGUUUGUGGCUACAUCGCACACAAGGCAUAACAGCCCUCUGCAAUGCCGCACUAAAGCAAGUAGCUAACCGUACUUGAUUACUCCCAUGCAUCAUUUUGCGCGCGCGCAGUCGUACGACGGUUACGCCGCCCGUACGGUGGCGGUGCGGUCGGACUACUCGUAUGUGGGCAUGCUGCAGUUUGCGGCGCUGGGUGUGGGCGCGGUGCUGGGACCCGCGCUGCUGGCCCUGGUGAUGCACGCCAUGUGCAGGUGGGUUGCAUGGUAUACGUAUAAGGGAUGUGAAAGGGCGGCGCCCGCGGCUGUGAAGAGGUGGGGCGUGUAGGCCAAGCACGCGUCGAGGCUUGGUGGUGUGUUACAAAAUGUCGCUGCUAGGGCAUUGGGAUUCGAAUUUACUACCAUGGCUUGUAUACUGCUAACACCGUUUGCGGCGACGUGUGUCUCCACCACUGCACAGGCUUCUCAGCCUGAAGAGGCGCACCGCCAACGUAACCGAAAUGGAGUCACAGCCUUCCGCCUCAGGCUCCGACGCCUCGCCCGCUGACUGCCGCAUCGGCGUCACGGUCACAGCUGGCACCAACGCCGCCACCGGUGCUGCCUCCAAGGCUCUGGCCGCGCCGCCGCCGGCUCACGUGCCCACCGCCGCCGCCUACAUCAGCACCGGACGCCCCGACCUCAAGACCAUCCUCACGCACGCCGCCGCGCCCUACGCCCCGGACGGUGAGGCGGUUGAGGAUGACCAGGCCGCUGCUGUGGGCGUUUUCGUGGCCGGGCCGGCCCCUCUGGUGGCGGCUGUGGCGGACACGUGCGCUGCUGUGAACGGUGUGUGGGCUGCGCUGUUUGGCGGCUGCUGCGGUGGCGGUGUGGGUGGCCGUGCUUACCUGGAGCUGCACGCGCUGACGCAUGAGCUGUAGAGUGCAUGCGGGUACAUGACGUAGGCUGGGUGCUGGCGGAGUGGUGGUGGAGCGUGCUGGAGCACUCACUUUGCGGGCAAUCAGUGACGAACGGUGACGGUGCGUGGUGGCGAUGGUGAUGGGUGCUAUAUAUAAGUAAGGCGAGCGGCUGUUUAUUUAUCGCACUGCUGCCGUCGGACGGAGCGAGGAGGCAACAGGUUGUGGCCCAUAGAAGUCAUGAGUGUGCGCACCAGCAGUGAAGCCUUCCAUUUAGCGCAACCUUGCUUGCUUGCAUGCUAUCUACACAUACACAUGCUUGGCGGCGGUUAGGUACAGUGUCCCGUCCCUACCUCCGUUGUGGGCACUGUGCGUGUUUGCUGCUGGUGUUUUGGGCGUGAAAAGC
rnacentral:lncRNA from 1 species